ACCUACCUACCUGCCUGCCUGCCUGCCUGCCUACCUGCCUAUCUAUCUACUGACCUGCUUGAAUGAACGAUAUCCACUGAUGAUAUCUAUCGAUGAUAUCUAGCGAUGAUAUCUGAAAUGAUGCCUACCGAUGGUGAUAUUGAUGAUGAUAUAUAUUGACGCCAUGCUCAUCAACAACUGUGUCAACAAGUCCUCUGAACUUCAAUGUUGUCCUUCCAUGGUAUAUAUAUAAUAAGUGAGAUUAUCACUUCAUAUCAUCUUCAUCUCUUCAAUCAUCUUACCAUGCCAUGCGUUGGUACCAUUUGGAAUCUUCUUUAUGAACAUACAAUCCUCAUCUGCAAUAAUGUCUAUUGAUGAUAUCUAGUGAUGAUGUAUAUUGAUGAUAUAUAUAAUAUCUAAGAGCUUGGCUUUUCUGAGCUUAUUGCUCCGUCUGGCACUCAGCUACAUGUUCAUGGAGCUCCUGCUAUAUACAUAUAUCUAAUGACUAUUUAACAGUGCAAUUGCUCCUAGUAGUCACAUCAGGUAUGGCAAAGGCCAUUCAUGAUUGUAUAGGUGUUUUUAAUAAUUUUGUGUAAGUGCCCAGUAUAUAUCAAGUUCAGCUGAAAACAAUUUCCUCGAUCCAUCAUUUAUCACAUUUCAUGGAAAAUACCAUGCAUGUGGAGUAACAACCGUGAAGUUUCCACUGCGCAGCUUGCGCAUAAUCCUGCCACACCAACACUCAUGUCAAAUGCCAUGCCCAGAAACAGGCAGCCAAAGGCUCCUGCAAUGAAAACAAGCU
rnacentral:sRNA from 1 species